AUUGCGCAUGCCCGGCGUUUUGUUCUUGCAUUGUAACGCGCUUACAGACUCUGACUGCUUGUUUGCGUUUUCAGCUUCAGUUACUGACAAAAUGUCAUGCACACUUAUGUACAUCUACUAAAAUACUUGAAGGAAUCUUGAAAAAGGGUGUAAACUACUCUCUGGUGUAGUUGCCGUUCUUUCUAGCUGAAGACUUAGGCCUACAGGUGUACAAUCGGCAAAGUAACAUACAACUGGCCCCUCCAGUAUGCCACACUACGCCAUGACUGAAUCAGAAGUGGUCAAAUCCAUCCCAAGGACAAACAGUAUGGAUAGGCCUAAUAACCUCCAGAAAUUUCACCUUCAUCAAGUAGUCUGGCUUAAACAUCACUUCACCACACCAUUACAGAAGGCAGUGAAGUCGGACAGUGGUGGACAUCAGCCAACCGAAAUAGGAGUGUAGCAUAUGACAGGAUGUCUAGCUGUGCCAUAUUGGUCACCAUCAUACAGAACAUCAAGUUAGAAUAAAUUAUGUACAAUGUCA